AUUGAACGCUGGCGGCAGGCCUAACACAUGCAAGUCGAACGAGUGGCGGACGGGUGAGUAAUGUCUGGGAAACUGCCUGAUGGAGGGGGAUAACUACUGGAAACGGUAGCUAAUACCGCAUACCAUAGGAUGAGCCCAAGUGGGAUGAGGUAGUUGGUGGGGGAAAGGCUCACCAAGCCGACGAUCUCUAGCUGGGCUGAGAGGAUGACCAGCCACACUGGGACUGAGACACGGCCCAGACUCCUACGGGAGGCAGCAGUGGGGAAGAUUGCGCAAUGGUGGCAACCCUGACGCAGCCAUGCCGCGUGAAUGAAGAAGGCCUUCGGGUUGUAAAGUUCUUUCGGUAGCGAGGCGUUAACUACAGAAGAAGCACCGGCUAACUCCGUGCCAGCAGCCGCGGUAAUAC
rnacentral:rRNA from 1 species